rnacentral:rRNA from 1 species
UACGUAGGGUGCGAGCGUUAAUCGGAAUUACUGGGCGUAAAGCGUGCGCAGGCGGUUUCGUAAGACAGAUGUGAAAUCCCCGGGCUCAACCUGGGAACUGCAUUUGUGACUGCAUCGCUCGAGUGUGGCAGAGGGGGAUGGAAUUCCGCGUGUAGCAGUGAAAUGCGUAGAUAUGCGGAGGAACACCGAUGGCGAAGGCAAUCCCCUGGGCCUGCACUGACGCUCAUGCACGAAAGCGUGGGGAGCAAACAGG